CAGCCCCUCGAGUGGUGGGGAUGAUUAUUUGGCCUAAAGCGUCCGUAGCCGGCCGUGUAAGUCUCCCGUUAAAUCCAGCGUCUCAAGCGUUGGACUGCGGGAGAUACUGUACGGCUAGAGAGUGGGAGAGGUCAGCGGUAUUCUGGAGGUAGGGGCGAAAUCCUUUGAUCCCCGGAGGACCACCAGUGGCGAAGGCUGCUGACUAGAACACGUCUGACGGUCAGGGACGAAAGCUGGGGUAGCGAACCGGAUUAGAUACCCGAGUAGUCC
rnacentral:rRNA from 1 species